rnacentral:rRNA from 1 species
UACGUAGGGGGCAAGCGUUGUUCGGAAUUACUGGGCGUAAAGGGCGCGCAGGCGGCUGCUCAAGUCAGGCGUGAAAGGCCUGGGCUCAACCCGGGAAUUGCGCUUGAGACUGGGCUGGCUUGAGUGCGGGAGAGGAUGGUGGAAUUCCCAGUGUAGAGGUGAAAUUCGUAGAUAUUGGGAAGAACACCGGUGGCGAAGGCGGCCAUCUGGACCGCAACUGACGCUGAGGCGCGACAGCGUGGGGAGCAAACAGG